UGCAGUCGACGGCAGCGCGGGCUUCGGCCUGGCGGCGAGUGGCGAACGGGUGAGUAAUGCAUCGGAACGUACCCAGUCGUGGGGGAUAACACAUCGAAAGAUGUGCUAAUACCGCAUACGUCCUGAGGGAGAAAGCGGGGGACCUUCGGGCCUCGCGCGAUUGGAGCGGCCGAUGUCAGAUUAGCUAGUAGGUGGGGUAAAGGCCCACCUAGGCGACAAUCUGUAGCGGGUCUGAGAGGAUGAUCCGCCACACUGGGACUGAGACACGGCCCAGACUCCUACGGGAGGCAGCAGUGGGGAAUUUUGGACAAUGGGGGCAACCCUGAUCCAGCCAUGCCGCGUGAGUGAAGAAGGCCUUCGGGUUGUAAAGCUCUUUCGGCCGGGAAGAAAUCGCACCUUUUAAUAGAGGGUGUGGAUGACGGUACCGGACUAAGAAGCACCGGCUAACUACGUGCCAGCAGCCGCGGUAAUACGUAGGGUGCGAGCGUUAAUCGGAAUUACUGGGCGUAAAGCGUGCGCAGGCGGUUUGCCAAGACAGGCGUGAAAUCCCCGGGCUUAACCUGGGAACUGCGCUUGUGACUGGCAGGCUAGAGUACGGCAGAGGGGGGUGGAAUUCCACGUGUAGCAGUGAAAUGCGUAGAGAUGUGGAGGAACACCGAUGGCGAAGGCAG
rnacentral:rRNA from 1 species